AUCCAGAUUUACCUACAUCAACGUAAAUGACGGUAUCAUGUCCAGUCUUGCAUCGGUGACUUGUAUAGUGACUCAAAAUACGACAGUGCGCUGCUGUUAAACAUGAACAGAUUCCCAUUAACCUUUUUUGUUCCUAACUUUAACUACUUUACACAUACUGUUUUGGUUCUACAACUAAAGCGGGACAUACCAAGCAUAGAGAACUUUCAUUAAUUACUAAAUAAUAUCUUCUCUCGAAAACUUCAGAUCGUUAGACGGUCAGAUGGAAAGGCCAAAAUGAAAUACAAAAAGUGGUCCACAUCUCCAAUUUGGCUCCCGGAGGACUCAGAGGGCAUCGACCUCCUAAAAAGUCUCCCAAGAGGAGCCCCAAAGGUAUGAAGGCUUAAUAUCAUGAAGCACCGCUACAUAACAUUUACUAAGAACAGCACAAUGUCCAAACCGUGGCAAAUGGAUUCACCUUUUUCGUGUCUGACUUAUUGUUCAUUGUAGGUAUAAUUAGGCCCACAGUCGUAUUGAGUUAUUGUGAAAUGAAGAACAAAGAAAAUACUGAAAGCAUUGUCAUCGUGCCUCCUGAAUUAUGUUCUUUCCCCCUUUUUCUUGAUAACAGCUUCUUGAAAGAAACAGCGAGAUUAAACUUAGAAAAUAUCAAGAACGAUCUACCGAAGUUUAGGCUCCACUUCGACUAAGACACGAGAGUAUGGUGGAAAAACUUCCUGAAACGCAAAGGAAUGACCGGAAAAGUAAAUCCAAAAUGGAUUUUACCACUUUUGGAAAAGCAGAUAGAGACCACGAACAGACCAUUGCAAGUCAGCGACACCACCGAUGAACUCUUUCGACUAAUUGAAAGAGAAGAAAGGGAUGUAGAGGUAAUUUUCUUUUCACUAGUUCAAUUUAGCAUGCUCAGUUUAGCAUGACAGCCUGCAAAGUGCUAGGAUGUAAAACCAAAACGUGAUUGAAAAACAUGAUGAAUAUAUAAUCAUCCAUUAAUUUGAGUCCAUAGGCUCGAUUUUCGUCGUUCUCUCGCGUCCGGUCUUUUGUUCGAGGGAGGAGCGCGCCUCGUUUCCCGAACAGCGGCUGGAAAUCGAACUUUCAUGCAAAGUCCACUGAAUUGUCUUAAAAUUUAUACCGAUUUUUUCAUACGUACGCGGCUCUUCACUCGAAGCUUCAAAUAAGAGGGGCUAGGCUUUCUCUGCAGAAAUAAGAUAAGUGAACUACAACCGUGGUCGCACAUGCUUUAAAAACACUUCGUAUGUCAACGAAGUUUGAAACAAAAAACCUUUCACCUUACACACGGGGGCAUUUUCACAUUCAUAACAACAUUGGUGUAGAUUAGUAGAUGAAAAAAAUCUUUAAUUACUUAUCGAUCGUCCAUGAAUUGUAGACAUUAUACGAGGCCAAUAAAUGAAAAAAAAUGUCUUAAACGUAUACUCAUACACUAAUUAAUGUACCUUAAUUUCAUGUUAGGUGCGUGCUGGAUGAAAGAGAAAGAAAAGCGGAAAUGGUCAAGGGAAAACGGGGCCCAAAAGGACCAAAAAAUGAGUGUCAGACGUAUCAGGAAGGAGUGCAAGUCCUCAUUGUC